AAUGAACGCUGGCGGCGUGCCUAACACAUGCAAGUCGAGCGCGAAAGUUCCUUCGGGAAUGAGUAGAGCGGCGGACGGGUGAGUAACACGUGAGAAUCUGCCCUUUAGUGAAGAAUAACUCUGAGAAAUCGGAGCUAAUGCUGCAUAAUUCCUUCGGGAUAAAGGUGACUUUAUGUUGCCGCUAAAGGAUGAGCUCGCGGUCUAUUAGUUUGUUGGUGGGGUAAAGGCCUACCAAGACGAUGAUGGAUAGCCGGCCUGAGAGGGUGAACGGUCACAUUGGAACUGAGACACGGUCCAG
rnacentral:rRNA from 1 species